rnacentral:rRNA from 1 species
CCUACGGUGGAGCAGCAGUGGGGAAUAUUGGACAAUGGGCGAAAGCCUGAUCCAGCCAUGCCGCGUGUGUGAAGAAGGCCUUCGGGUUGUAAAGCACUUUCAGUGGGGAAGAAAGCCUUGGGGCUAAUACCCUCGAGGAAGGACAUCACCCACAGAAGAAGCACCGGCUAACUCCGUGCCAGCAGCCGCGGUAAUACGGAGGGUGCGAGCGUUAAUCGGAAUUACUGGGCGUAAAGCGCGCGUAGGCGGUCUGAUAAGCCGGUUGUGAAAGCCCCGGGCUCAACCUGGGAACGGCAUCCGGAACUGUCAGGCUAGAGUGCAGGAGAGGAAGGUAGAAUUCCCGGUGUAGCGGUGAAAUGCGUAGAGAUCGGGAGGAAUACCAGUGGCGAAGGCGGCCUUCUGGACUGACACUGACGCUGAGGUGCGAAAGCGUGGGUAGCAAACAGGAUUAGAUACCCCUGUAGUC